rnacentral:lncRNA from 1 species
ACCAAAUAGAGAUAUGUUUAUAUUUUAUUAAAUUGAUGAAGUGUAUGUUAGUUUAAAUUAAUAUGUACAUGCAAUUUUAAGGUUUUAAAAAAUCAGCAUUUUUAUUGGAUUAUCUCCCUUUGUACAAUAGAAAUUCAGAUUUUAUCCACACACUGUCUCAGGUACUCAUGAUCAAAAUGACUUAUAUGGUAACCAGCAUGCAAGUAAAAGGUUGCAACGUGUCUUAAUUUUGUUUACCUGUCAGACACAACUUCUGAAUGUCAAUACUUAAGAUUUUUCAAUAUGAUGAACUUGACAUUGAAUUUCAUAUCAUUUUUCAGUAACCAGAAUACAACUUUAGUAAUUAGCAAGCUGCAAUAACCAAAAAUGGGAUUACUAGGAAGAAAUGAAUGGAUUUUACUCUUUAAAGUAAUAGGGACAAGUGUACUAAAGGAAUUUGGAAUAAAAAAAAAUACCAAAAAAAAAAUUGUCUUUGGCAGCUCCCCCCUUUUUUAAGCCUAAUGCUUACUAUUGUUUGUGACACAAAAAUCCAUU